GUGCCGGUUAGCUCAGUGGUUUGAGCACGGUGCUCACAACAAUGACAACACCGAGGUUGUGGGUUUGAUUCCCGCUCGGUUCC
rfam:Apaloderma vittatum contig21989, whole genome shotgun sequence.